UGAAGUGGCUCUACUCGCGUCUCCGCGAGGUUGUGUCUCUAUUAGCACUGGGGGAGCGCGCGGAUCGGUAUUGGCAUCGAUAAGGAAAAUAUCUGUGUGCAGCAGUUUGGAUUCUAAGGAGGUAUUCUCAUCUGUGAGUGAAUCGCCAUCUCUCAUUCAGCCCUCCGUCGAGGCGGCUGCUGCAGGCUUGUUGAUGGACGCAACAUCAGGCAACAUGGUGACUACCGUUUCCAAAGGCUCUUCAUCAAGCUGCCCGUCUGAGUACAACCAGCGCCACGCAGUGAGAAUUGGAGGCUGGUGAGGCUGGAGGCUUGGCUCUGAGCUCUGCUGGUGGUGGAGGAGGAGAGAGAAAGAGCAGGAGAGGAGGAGAG